GCUGUCAAUGGCAGUGACUGAGUAAAAAUGGAAAAUGCUCACACGUACAGAUUAAUAAGAGCUUCUCACAGUGCGUCUUGUAAACAUUGGUGUAAACACGUGUGUCAUCA